UAAAAAUUAGUUAAUAUUAUAAUAAUAUAAGUUUGUCAGACUUAAGUAAUUUGAGUAAAUAUUUUUAU
rnacentral:tRNA from 1 species